GUUAAUCGUAUAUAUGAUUCUGAUGAUGAAAUGUGGGCCGAGAACAGAUCCAAGCGAUUGCAUGAUCCAUUAGCGAUGAAGGGCAAGAGUAUUGUCAAACCAAAGAAAAAGGUUGGAGAAACUCUAAAAAAGGGAGAAGAAAAGUGACAUCUUUUUUCCCGACCCGCACUUCCUAAGAUUAUCUUCAAUGUAUCAUUCACUCUCCAUUACGUCAUAUGUUUGAGAUUAGACAGGUAUAACCAAAAGUCGCUUGAUACAAUGUUUUGCAAUGGGGAGUUGGGAGACCACACAGGAAUCUGUUCAGAUGGCAAUAUUAUACUUCAUCAAUCUUUCAUGUUAUGCCAUCUUGGUGAGACCUUCAUAUGUAUAGAAGAGUUUCUAAUGGUUGAAGAUGGUAGAUAUGAAUUGUAUUCUUGGGGUCAGAUUGCAUUCUAUAAGCUAAUUACAUCACUCAGACAAGACUUCAACCAAAAUAAAUGAAUGUAUCGCUUAUUUGAUAUGCCUUAUACACUCAACGUAUGAAUUUACGAAUGUGAAUCUAGUCUAAAUCCAGAGUUUGCUGUUAAAGUAGCAAAUGAUUUCCCAUGAUUUGUAAUUGGACGGUCGUGAUUGUAAAUCUUGUUGUAAAUAAUAUUUUUUGUAUUAUACAUAA